rnacentral:rRNA from 1 species
AUUGAACGCUGGCGGCAGGCCUAACACAUGCAAGUCGAGCGGAUGAUGGGAGCUUGCUCCUGGAUUCAGCGGCGGACGGGUGAGUAAUGCCUAGGAAUCUGCCUGGUAGUCGGGGACAACGUUUCGAAAGGAACGCUAAUACCGCAUACGUCCUACGGGAGAAAGCAGGGGACCUUCGGGCCUUGCGCUAUCAGAUGAGCCUAGGUCGGAUUAGCUUGUUGGUGAGGUAAUGGCUCACCAAGGCGACGAUCCGUAACUGGUCUGAGAGGAUGAUCAGUCACACUGGAGAUGCGACACGGGCCAGACUCCUACGGGAGGCAGCAGUGGGGAAUAUUGGACAAUGGGCGAAAGCCUGAUCCAGCCAUGCCGCGUGUGUGAAGAAGGUCUUCGGAUUGUAAAGCACCUUAAGUUGGGAGGAAGGGUUGUAGAUUAAUACUCUGCAAUUUUGACGUUACCGACAGAAUAAGCACCGGCUAACUCUGUGCCAGCCGCCGCCGUAACAC